rnacentral:tRNA from 1 species
UCCCAGUUGGUGUAGUGGUCAACAUUCGGCACUCUCAAUGCCGGGCCAGGAGUUCGAUUCUCCUACUGGGAA